AGAGUUUGAUCCUGGCUCAGAACGUACGCUGGCGGCACGCCUAACACAUGCAAGUCGAACGAAGUAGCAAUACUUAGUGGCAGACGGGUGAGUAACAUGUAGGUAUCUGCCCUUUGGCCUGGAAUAACACGAGGAAACUUGUGCUAAUACCGGAUAAGUCUUCACGGAGAAAGCUUUAUGCACCAUUGGAUGAGCCUGCACUUGAUUAGUUUGUUGGUGGGGUAAUGGCCUACCAAGACUAUGAUCAAUAGCUGAUUUGAGAGGAUGAUCAGCCACAUUGGGACUGAGACACGGCCCAAACUCCUACGGGAGGCAGCAGUGGGGAAUCUUGCACAAUGGAGGAAACUCUGAUGCAGCGAUGCCGCGUGAGUGAAGAAGGCCCUUGGGUUGUAAAGCUCUUUCGUCGGGGAAGAAAAUGACUGUACCCGAAUAAGAAGGUCCGGCUAACUUCGUGCCAGCAGCCGCGGUAAUACGAAGGGACCUAGCGUAGUUCGGAAUUACUGGGCUUAAAGAGUUCGUAGGUGGUUGAAAAAGUUGGUGGUGAAAUCCCAGAGCUUAACUCUGGAACUGCCAUCAAAACUUUUCAGCUAGAGUAUGAUAGAGGAAAGCAGAAUUUCUAGUGUAGAGGUGAAAUUCGUANAUAUUANAAAGAAUACCNAAUGCGAAGGCAGCUUUCUGGAUCAUUACUGACNCUGAGGAACGAAGC
rnacentral:rRNA from 1 species